rnacentral:piRNA from 1 species
UUGGCCCAUAUUAGACGGCCUUUCAGAGCUA